GAUGAACGCUGGCGGCGUGCCUAAUACAUGCAAGUCGAGCGAACAGACGAGAGUGCUUGCACUCUCUGACGUUAGCGGCGGACGGGUGAGUAACACGUGGGUAACCUACCUAUAAGACUGGGAUAACUUCGGGAAACCGGAGCUAAUACCGGAUAAUAUUUAGCUUCGCAUGAAGCAAUAGUGAAAGACGGUUCUGCUGUCACUUAUAGAUGGACCCGCGGUGUAUUAGCUAGUUGGUGAGAUAACGGCUCACCAAGGCAACGAUACAUAGCCGACCUGAGAGGGUGAUCGGCCACACUGGAACUGAGACACGGCCCAGACUCCUACGGGAGGCAGCAGUAGGGAAUCUUCCGCAAUGGGCGAAAGUCUGACGGAGCAAUGCCGCGUGAGUGAAGAAGGUUUUCGGAUCGUAAAACUCUGUUGUAAGGGAAGAACAAGUACGUUAGUAACUGAACGUACCUUGACGGUACCUUACCAGAAAGCCACGGCUAACUACGUG
rnacentral:rRNA from 1 species